rnacentral:lncRNA from 1 species
UUAAAAUUUUAAAAAAUAAGAUCCUCUACAGGCAAAUAUUGGUAUUUGAUAUGUAUAUGAUGCAGAUAUGGUAUGUGAUUAGGUAUCUAGAUUCCUAUGUUGAACAUCAGGACAACAAUUAGAAACCCUAAGGUCACAAUUGCAGAAGGCUAAUUCAAAUAUUUGUUUAAAAAGAAAAAAAGAAAGUGCAAUCUGAACUAAAAUUGAACAUUAAACGUUUGAUAUAUGCAAUAACUGCCUUAGAAUUAACUUGAUCUGAUACCAAAUAUAACAAAGCCUAGUUAUAGGAUGGCUGAGGAACAAUUGGUCAAAAACAAUAGGAUCCUACACAUUCAGGAUUCAGAAAGUGCCCAGUAGAAUAAAAGCAACAAAGCAAAGAUUAACAUAUCAGUCUUUCCACCCUAGAUUUCUGUCUCACCAACAAAAAUAAAACAGGAGGAAAAAUCAAGAGCAACACUAGACCUAAAUCAUGACUAAUCACGAAAAUAAAGACUGAUGUCUAUGCCAAACAAUUUACACUAAGAAUCAUGAGCAAAUCAUAUAGUCAACAUGGACUAAUUAUUCUAUAGACAAGAAUGGUGGCAACAUAUGUUAGGGACGAAGAGAUGGAGGAGAGAGAAACAAAUAGGAAGGAUUUAAACAAAGAUGCAAACUGAGGAACUCAACAAGCUGAUCAGUGGCCAUUUUACUAAGCUUCUUCUCUUGUUGUGCAUUAUGAGAUGAAUGAUCACAAAUGUAAUCUCAAAAAUACAAUUAGCACAAGCUGAUUUUCCCCCAAUAACAGCAGUUUUAAACAAACCAAACUAUAUAAGGAAAUUCUAGCAAAUAAUUUCAGCAUCUAGCUAUCUAUUUCAGUUUAUAAACUACCCAGCUUAUACAUGAAUUGGCUGAUGAAUCUGCAAGAACAGCAAAGGAACAUGUUUUAUUCAGUUAAAUUCCCAUCAUUUUCCUUAGAGAUAUCCUAUAUAGCAGAUGGAAGACUACUUUAAAGGUAAAGGAAGGAUCAUGUAUCACUUCAAAAUCAAAUUACAGAAAACUGAGCUUCUAGCUAAGUUUCUAAUGUAAAUCUGUAGUUUGAUGUCACCACUUAAACUGAAUCUAUGGCUUCUGGCGAUCAGCAUUAAAGAGUUUCAUUAGUCUUUUGCAUAUAUCUCUCCAUCCUCGUACGCUAAAGGUAAAGGUAAAGGAAGGAUCAUGUAUCACUUCAAAAUCAAAUAGCAGACGGAAGACUACUUUAAAGGUAAAGGAAGGAUCAUGUAUCCUUAAAGAUAGCCUAUAUAGCAGACGGAAGACUACUUUAAAGGUAAAGGAAGGAUCAUGUAUCACUUCAAAAUCAAAUUACAGAAAACUGAGCUUCUAGCUAAGUUUCUAAUGUAAAUUUGUAGUUUGAUGUCACCACUUAAACUGAAUCUAUGGCUUCUGGCGAUCAGCAUUAAAGAGUUUAACUAGUCUUUUGCAUAUGUCUCUCCAUCCUCGUACGUUAACCCUUCUAAUACGACUCCACAUUCCUUAUCCUGAUACUAACAUCAAUUUCAAGAUAAAAGUUUCCAUAAUUUCAGAAAGUGACAUAGUUCCUAAAAUAAGAGUUGUAGUCCUACUCAAAACACUAUAAAAAUGAAAUAAAAAGAGAAUAAUACAAGAGAAAUGCAAAUAUAAGCUUCUGAGCCUCUUCACGCAAGUUUACAAAAGGAAUCCUCCUUGAAGUGGCCAAGUGAGAGAAAAGAGGGUGGUUUUGGUUGUUCUAUCUAUUCCACAUUUUGGUUGUUCUAUCUAUCCACCCCCUUGUCAUUUCAUCUCUUAUAAUUGCCGCUUGCAAAAGGAAUCACAUAAAGCAUCAACCCAUUUUCAUGAUAUCUAACCUAAAAUCGAUGAGCUUUGUUUCAUCUCGUUGAUUGCCACCUGCAAAAGGAAUUAUAUGAAGCAUCAAGCCAUUCUCAUAAUAUCUAACCUCAAAUAAAGGCCCCCAAUUCCCGACAAUAGAAGUUUCAUAAAACAUAGGAGACUUUGAAGUAAUCGGUCGUUAUUGCAGACCCUUCCAUAACUUACAGCAUAGCAAAGAUCUAGACUGCUCCAAACAUAAUCUAAACACUUGUAAAGGUACCAAAAUGGCCACCAUACCAUAUUCUAUUCACCAUGUUCUAGUAAAUGUAAAACACAAUCCUUGAUGAAAAUGAGAGAACAAAAGAGAAAAGCUAAAACUUCAACCUUCCCUCAUUACAUGAGAAGGUAGAAGAAUAGCAAGAUAGAAGAGGGAAGAGAAACAAAGAGAAACGGGGGGAGGGGAGGGGGGAGAGAGAGAAUGAGGGACCAAGCCUUCUUUUAUGGAGGACAAAAAUAAAAUGUUCUCUUCAAUUACAAAGUGGAUAACAAGAGGGAAAUGAGAGAAAGAUAGAGUGGUAACAAGAUGACGGGGAUAUGUUCAAGGUAUGAGGCAUUAAGCAUCAUUUAAAACAGAAUUUAAAACUUAAAUCAUCCCUUCCUCUAAUCAUUGCAGACUUUCCUAAUAUCUAUUUAUUUAUUUUGAAGCAUAUACUGGACACCCCUUAGAUGUCAUGUUAUUGUCAUAUAACCACUGAAGUGAAGGGAUGUUUUCAUCCUCAACAUUGUAAGUUUAGAAUCAUCUCCUAAUAAAUAUUUCUAACAUACAAAUGAUAAAAAAAAAAAAAGAAAGAAAGAAAGAAAGAAAAGAAACUAAUUAUAAUGUCUAUAUCACAAGCAUAAACUAUGCAACUGUAAAGAACCUGCUGGUCGAAUGCUUAUCCAGAUGCUAAAAUAAGCUGCCAACGUACGUUUGCUAACUUUCCUAGUAUUUUUAAAAGGCACAAAGAAAUUAGAGAAUUUAAAAAGCGUUCACUUUUAAGAAACAAAAAAUUAAUUGGUAUUUUCAAGAUUUUGUUAGUUUAAUCGGGGAAGACUAAAUGAAAGAGAAGAAUUGGUAUGUAACAGAUGUCACAAGUAGUCAAGUUGCAGACAAAGAUUUGAAGAGCAAUUAUAUACAUGAUAUUAUUAUGAACAUUGUGAAAUUGUAUUCAAAAAUAAACUAUUUAACAUGACUAUUGUUGCCAAAGGGGUAAUGUUUAGCACUCAAAUAAGGUCAUUAUAUCUUCGAUGACAAAUCAUGUUGUUUCUAAGGAUGGUGGAUGAAUCUUUUAUAAACUAUGUUUUCCAACUAAUCCUACCACUCCCUUGUCAGCGAAACCCUCAAAAAUUUUACGAUAGAUUGCAAAGAGUUCCACACAAGGACACUGGGUGGGACAAAAACCUGAUGAUUAAGGUAGGGGCUAAGGUGCAGUAGACUAGGCUUCAGGAUCACAAGGGCGUUUGCCACUAUGUAAUGUGAGUUUCAAGGAUGAUGGGCUUUCCAGUUUAGCCUGCUUUCUAAUUAGAUAUGCAUGGGUUUUGAUCGUUACAAAAUGAAACAACAGUGGAGAAUAAAGAGAGGAAGGAAUGAGGAGGAAAGAGAGCAAACAUGAAUAAGGACAACAUGGAGGGAUGUUGCUUGUAGUUGGCUUUUUUCCCCUUAUUCUCUUUCCCCUUAAGCAAAUAAUCCAAUAUCAUUUGGGCCUUAGCCAAAGUCGUCUCCAGCUCUACAAGUCAGUAUGUCUAUAAUCUACAUAUAAAGAAGACAAGGAAACAAAACAAACAAAAUACAAUACAAUACAUGCUCUACCAACGUCCAAAAAAUUAAAACAAAGAAAAAACCUAGCCAGCUGUUCCUCCCAAAAUUACUCCAACAGAUUCCUUAAACACCCAUAACAUCCCCUUGAGGACUAAUUUGCUGAAACAAUAACAACAAAUCAUCCAUUUGAUGAACUCCCAAUCUUCAAAAAUAGCUCAAUUAUGUACAUGCAAUAACAUCCUUCCUUGCAAGUUUUGCACUAUUUUUUUUUCUUCUUCUAAAGUGUCCUCAAAUAGUUUUGCAAAAGUUGAUCGCCCCACAUAGAUUCUCCUUCAAGGAUUUCCAUGCCAAACUAACUAGCAAUCUAGAAAGGAACCAAAUGAAGCAAACAGACAGAGAAAAGUAGUUUACAAGGUGGCUUUGAAAAUUAAUCACUUGCAAUUUUAUGACGGAAAUGAAGAAUACUUCAGAAGAGCAUGACACAAACUUCAUGUAGUUCAGUUAUAUUUGAGUAUUCUGAUGGAAUAUCUAUACUGCAGAGAUAUGUAAUAGUUUUCUUGUGGUUGAAUUCAAUCUUUUAAAAGACUGUAGGUGGCAGAUUGAUGGCCAAGGAACCACUUAGCGCCUAGGUGCUAGGCAGUCACCUAGAGGUCAAGACAGCCCAAACAUUAAAGAGAAGCCUAAAAAAGAAAUUAUAAACAAAUGAAAAAUAAUUUUCUCCAUAUUCAAAAAUAAUUAAGGUAAGCACCUAGUCUUGAUGUCCAUACAGCCAAGAUAGCCUCUCCAUCUAUAAUAUUCAUUAAAUUAAGUACAUGUUGAAUUUAUCCAUUCACACAUAUGCUCCUUUUUUUUCCUUGCUCCCUAAAUGUCCUAGGGUUAUCCAAGAGCUACAACUAUAUCAGCAGCAAAAAACUAUUUCCUCAAAUACUUCUAACCAAUUUCCAGUAAUUCCUCAAAGAAGCAACGAUUGCCAACUUUAGUGAAAACAGAAAUCUUGAAUUGAUUCUCAUUGCAAUACAAAAUUGAAAUUUUCACUUCAAUUCCACCAUAACAAAAUCGCUCAAUCGUAUAAAUCUUCUUAAUUAGCAGUAAAACGAUCAAUUAGUGUUUUUUGAAAAAAAAAAAGAUCACAUAAUUCUCCAUGUACAAAAUCUUUUUUCCUAUCACUUCCAGAUUCAGUGUGCUGUAUAUUCAGAUCAUGCUGAAAAUCACUCGCUUUCCAAGCUGCAAAAUAGCCCCCAAAUAAGACUCGAAUAUUUUCAGGGGAAAAAGGGGGAAAGAGGAAAGAAUGACAAUUUUAGAUCAAACCUC